CCUACCAAAGAACUAUGGCUACUUAGACUUAAGAGCAGAUGUCCACUGAAAUGGAGCAAAAUCGAGAAUUCGCGGACACAUUCAAAAUUUCGAUUUUGCUCAUUUUUGGUUUGCUGGAAGGCAUUAGCAAGUAAACAAACGUGAUAUGGUUUGUUUUCCAAAAACCGUUAAAAUUCCGAGAAAUCCGAGAAAAACCGUUCGGCUGUCGGCGACCUCAAAAAUAUGCAAAUUUUCAGUUGAAUCAAACAAGUUCAAAAACAGGUAACGCAUGCAAAGUAGGAAAAAGAUGUGAAAACUAUACGUUUGUAAAUCGAUAGAAGAGAUGUUUGAGACUUGAUUUGGCAUAAAAUAAUAAUUUUAGCUAUUAAUUAAAACCUGACAGCUG